rnacentral:rRNA from 1 species
GUGGUUUAAUUCGAUGAUACGCGAGGAACCUUACCUGGGCUCGAACGUAAGAUGACUGUAGGUGAAAGCUUACAUCUCUUCGGAGCAUUUUACGAGGUGCUGCAUGGUUGUCGUCAGCUCGUGCCGUGAGGUGUCGGGUUAAGUCCCAUAACGAGCGCAACCCCUACCUUAGUUGCCAUCAGGUUAAGCUGGGGACUCUAAAGGAACUGCCUACGCAAGUAGUGAGGAAGGCGGGGAUGACGUCAAAUCAGCACGGCCCUUACGUCCAGGGCUACACACGUGCUACAAUGGCCGAUACAGAGGGCAGCUACCUGGUGACAGGAUGCAAAUCUCCAAAGUCGGUCUCAGUUCGGAUCGGAGUCUGCAACCCGACUCCGUGAAGUUGGAUUCGCUAGUAAUCGCGCAUCAGCCAUGGCGCGGUGAAUACGUUCCCGGGCCUU